AACAAAUACUUUUUUGUGUAUUUCGUAGGUUUUCCUUGCUACCAUUUGUGCUUUGGCCUACAGUGCACCACACCCAGGAUUUUUGGGAAAACAUGAGCACCAUAUCGUUCAUGUGCCAUACAAAGUGCACACCAUCCAUCACCAUCAUGUACAAAAGGUUCCUGUCAUCAAGGAGAUCAUAAAGGAAGUUCCGGUGAUCAAGCAUGUUCCGGUCUACAAAGAAGUUCAUGUUCCAGUUUACAAGGAAGUCCAUGUUCCCGUUCAUGUUGAGGAACAUCAUAAAGAAUCUUGGGCACCAUCAUCAUCCGGCUGGUAUUAAAUAAAAUAAAACAUAUCAAGAGUUGAUAAGAGAAGAAAUGAUAAAAAGAAAACGAAUUUAUUUAGAACACAAAUUGUACAAAAGAAUUUUUUUUAAUAUUUUUUUUGUUUAUUUAAAAAAAAGCUUUACUCAUAAUUGUUAAGUUUAGUUAAAUGUUUUUUUGUUUGAUUUUGAUUUGUUUUAUAAUUUUAUUUUGUGUACAUACUCGUAUGUAAAUAUUUAGAUUUAUAAGAGUUUUUUUACCAUCCUGUAAAAUGUUA